CUUGCAUAUUAAAUAUAAGAGGCCAUGCCUGCCCAGUGACACCAGUUUAACGGCCGCGGUAUUAUGACCGUGCAAAGGUAGCGUAAUCACCUGUCUUUUAAUUAAAGACCUGUAUGAAUGGCAAAACGAGAGUCCAACUGUCUCUUUAAAUUAAUCAGUGAAACUAAUCUUUCCGUGCAGAAGCGGAAAUAAUAUCAUAAGACGAGAAGACCCUAUGGAGCUUUAAAUUUUACUUAACUAUAAUCUUAUUUUCUUCUACGGAAAAACCUUUUACUAUUAUAGAUUAAUAAAAAUUUUAGGUUGGGGCGACCGCGGAACAAAGAAAAACUUCCGAGAAGAAAUUUUUAGAAGAACACUUCAUAAAAUAGAAAAAUCUAACAUAUUGACCCAAUAAUUGAUCAACGAACCAAGUUACCCUAGGGAUAACAGCGCAAUCUUCUCCAAGAGUUCUUAUCGACGAGUAGGUUUACGACCUCGAUGUUGGAUCAGGACACCCAAAUGGUGCAGCAGCUAUUAAAGGUUCGUUUGUUCAACGAUUAAAGUCCU
rnacentral:rRNA from 1 species